rnacentral:RNase_P_RNA from 1 species
AAAGAUACCGCCUACGUCUUCUUCGGAAGGCCGGUAAGGGUGAAAUGGUGCGGUAAGAGCGCACCGCGAGUCUGGCAACAGACCGGCACGGCAAACCCCACCUGGAGCAAGACCAAAUAGGGAUCCUUUGGCGCGGCCCGCGUUGGAUCCGGGUAGGUUGCUUGAGCGUUGCGGUGACGUAACGCCUAGAGGAAUGACUGUCCACGACAGAACCCGGCUUAUCGGCCGGCUCCGCCU